rnacentral:rRNA from 1 species
GAAUCUUCGGCAAUGGACGAAAGUCUGACCGAGCAACGCCGCGUGAGUGAAGAAGGUUUUCGGAUCGUAAAACUCUGUUGUUAGAGAAGAACGUUGUGUAGAGUGGAAAAUUACACAAGUGACGGUAUCUAACCAGAAAGGGACGGCUAACUACGUGCCAGCAGCCGCGGUAAUACGUAGGUCCCGAGCGUUGUCCGGAUUUAUUGGGCGUAAAGCGAGCGCAGGUGGUUUAAUAAGUCUGAUGUAAAAGGCAGUGGCUCAACCAUUGUGUGCAUUGGAAACUGUUAGACUUGAGUGCAGUAGAGGAGAGUGGAAUUCCAUGUGUAGCGGUGAAAUGCGUAGAUAUAUGGAGGAACACCGGUGGCGAAAGCGGCUCUCUGGACUGUAACUGACACUGAGGCUCGAAAGCGUGGGUAGCAAACAG